UACAGAGGCCCCGAGCGUUGUUCGGAUUUACUGGGCGUAAAGCGGAUGUAGGUGGUCAUGUAAGUCAGAUGUGAAAGCCCUGGGCCUAACCCGGGAACUGCAUUUGAUACUGCAUGACUGGAGUGCAGGAGAGGAAAGUGGAAUUCCUAGUGUAGGGGUGAAAUCCGUAGAUAUUAGGAGGAAUACCGAUGGCGAAGGCAACUUUCUGGCCUGUAACUGACACUGAGAUCCGAAAGCGUGGGUAGCAAAC
rnacentral:rRNA from 1 species